rnacentral:rRNA from 1 species
GUCUACCGCCAUACCACCCUGAACGCGUCAGAUUUCGUCUGAUCUCGGAAGCUAAGCAGGGUCGAGCCUGGUUAGUACUUGGAUGGGAGAAAUUAUCUAGAGCAGGUGAGU